rnacentral:tRNA from 1 species
GCCUGAGUGGCUCAGUCAGUAGAGCAUCUGACUUCUGCUCAGAUCGUAAUCUCGCAGUUCAUGAGUUCAAGCCCCACGUCAGGCU